rnacentral:rRNA from 1 species
UACGUAGGGUGCGAGCGUUAAUCGGAAUUACUGGGCGUAAAGCGUGCGCAGGCGGCGCGUUAAGACAGGUGUGAAAGCCCCGAGCUUAACUUGGGAAUUGCGCUUGUGACUGGCGGGCUGGAGUGUGGCAGAGGGAGGUGGAAUUCCACGUGUAGCAGUGAAAUGCGUAGAGAUGUGGAGGAACACCGAUGGCGAAGGCAGCCUCCUGGGCCAGCACUGACGCUCAUGCACGAAAGCUAGGGGAGCAAACAGG